UACGUAGGGGGCGAGCGUUGUCCGGAUUCAUUGGGCGUAAAGAGCUCGUAGGCGGUUUGGCAAGUCGGGUGUGAAAUCUCCGGGCUCAACUCGGAGAGGCCACUCGAUACUGCUAUGACUAGAGUCCGGUAGGGGACUAUGGAAUUCCUGGUGUAGCGGUGAAAUGCGCAGAUAUCAGGAGGAACACCGAUGGCGAAGGCAGGUCACUGGGCCGCAACUGACGCUGAGGAGCGAAAGCAUGGGGAGCGAACAGG
rnacentral:rRNA from 1 species